GGGGGUGUGGCGCAAUGGUAGCGCGUCAGAUUCCAGUUGCUUCAGCAUCCCGGUAUCCUGAAGGCUCUCGGUUCAAAUCCGUGCACCCUCA